UACGAGAGGCCCAAACGUUAUUCGGAAUUACUGGGCGUAAAGAGUGUGUAGGCGGUGCUCCCAGUCUGUUGUGAAAUCUCCCGGCUUAACUGGGAGGGUGCAGCGGAAACUAGAGUGCUAGAGGGUGGGAGAGGUAAGCGGAAUUCCUGGUGUAGCGGUGAAAUGCGUAGAUAUCAGGAGGAACACCUGUGGUGUAGACAGCUUACUGGACCACUUCUGACGCUGAGACACGAAAGCGUGGGUAGCAAACAGG
rnacentral:rRNA from 1 species